rnacentral:rRNA from 1 species
CCUACGGGAGGCAGCAGUGGGGAAUUUUGGACAAUGGGCGCAAGCCUGAUCCAGCCAUGCCGCGUGCGGGAAGAAGGCCUUCGGGUUGUAAACCGCUUUUGUCAGGGAAGAAAUCCUUUGAGCUAAUACCUCGGGGGGAUGACGGUACCUGAAGAAUAAGCACCGGCUAACUACGUGCCAGCAGCCGCGGUAAUACGUAGGGUGCGAGCGUUAAUCGGAAUUACUGGGCGUAAAGCGUGCGCAGGCGGUCUUGCAAGACAGGUGUGAAAUCCCCGGGCUUAACCUGGGAACUGCACUUGUGACUGCAAGGCUGGAGUACGGCAGAGGGGGUAUGGAAUUCCGCGUGUAGCAGUGAAAUGCGUAGAUAUGCGGAGGAACACCGAUGGCGAAGGCAAUCCCCUGGGCCUGUACUGACGCUCAUGCACGAAAGCGUGGGGAGCAAACAGGAUUAGAUACCCUGGUAGUCCACGCCCUAAACGAUGUCACUGGUUGUAGGACGGUCUUGUCUGUUCUAGUAACGAAGACUACGCGUGAGUAGACCGCCGUGGGAGGUACGGCCGCGAGUAGAACGUACGAAGAAGUAGACGGCGUGAGACGUGCGACGGACGACGACGAGGGAGGAGG